CCUACGGGCGGCAGCAGUGGGGAAUAUUGCACAAUGGGGGAAACCCUGAUGCAGCGACGCCGCGUGAGUGAAGAAGUAUUUCGGUACGUAAAGCUCGAUCAGCAGGGAAGAAAAUGACGGUACCUGACUAAGAAGCCCCGGCUAACUACGGGCCAGCAGCCGCGGUAAUACGUAGGGGGCAAGCGUUAUCCGGAUUUACUGGGUGUAAAGGGAGCGUAGACGGCCGCGCCAGUCUGGAGUGAAAUCCCAUGGCUUAACCAUGGAACUGCUUUGGAAACUGUGCAGCUAGAGUGCAGGAGAGGUCAGCGGCAUUUCUAUUGUAGCGGUGAACUUCUUAGAUAUUAGGAG
rnacentral:rRNA from 1 species